rnacentral:rRNA from 1 species
AUUGAACGCUGGCGGCAGGCUUAACACAUGCAAGUCGAGCGGAGAUGAGGUGCUUGCACCUUAUCUUAGCGGCGGACGGGUGAGUAAUGCUUAGGAAUCUGCCUAUUAGUGGGGGACAACAUUCCGAAAGGAAUGCUAAUACCGCAUACGCCCUACGGGGGAAAGCAGGGGAUCUUCGGACCUUGCGCUAAUAGAUGAGCCUAAGUCGGAUUAGCUAGUUGGUGGGGUAAAGGCCUACCAAGGCGACGAUCUGUAGCGGGUCUGAGAGGAUGAUCCGCCACGCUGGGACUGAGACACGGCCCAGACUCCUACGGGAGGCAGCAGUGGGGAAUAUUGGACAAUGGGCGGAAGCCUGAUCCAGCCAUGCCGCGUGUGUGAAGAAGGCCUUUUGGUUGUAAAGCACUUUAAGCGAGGAGGAGGCUACCUGGAUUAAUACUCUAGGAUAGUGGACGUUACUCGCAGAAUAAGCACCGGCUAACUCUGUGCCAGCCGCCGCAGUAAGAC